UUUAGCAGCGAUAGCUCAUUAGGUAGAGCGUGAAACUCUUAAUCUCAGGGUUUAUGGGUUUGAGCCCCACACUGGGCAAAA